rnacentral:rRNA from 1 species
UACGUAGGGACCAAGCGUUGUCCGGAAUCAUUGGGCGUAAAGCGCGCGUAGGCGGCCCGGUAAGUCCGUUGUAAAAGUCAAAGGCUCAACCUUUGAAUGCCGAUGGAUACUGCCGGGCUAGAGUCCGGAAGAGGCGAGUAGAAUUCCUGGUGUAGCGGUGGAAUGCGCAGAUAUCAGGAGGAAUACCCAUAGCGAAGGCAGCUCGCUGGGACGGUACUGACGCUAAGGCGCGAAAGCGUGGGAGCGAACAGG